rnacentral:ncRNA from 1 species
AUGAAGGGAGUGGAAGAGACCCCCUCAAGGGCGCCGAAGGAGCAAUUUCCCCCGGGCGGGUGACGGGGGAAGGAACCUCUCAGGCAAAAGUACCGCUCCCGGACC